rnacentral:rRNA from 1 species
UACGUAGGUGGCAAGCGUUGUCCGAAAUUAUUGGGCGUAAAGCGCGCGCAGGUGGUUUCUUAAGUCUGAUGUGAAAGCCCACGGCUCAACCGUGGAGGGUCAUUGGAAACUGGGGAACUUGAGUGCAGGAGAGAAGAGUGGAAUUCCACGUGUAGCGGUGAAAUGCGUAGAGAUAUGGAGGAACACCAGUGGCGAAGGCGACUUUCUGGUCUGUAACUGACACUGAGGCGCGAAAGCGUGGGGAGCAAACAGG